rnacentral:lncRNA from 1 species
UUUUGGACUUUAGCCACAAGAAUAAAAAAUAGGUCUAUCAUUUUGUUUGAUUAAAAAAACUUUCUGAAGCAAGAUUUUCUAUUGUUUUAGUGACUGAAGGUGAACUUCUGCAAGCACUAUGAGGACUGGGAGAUACUCUUUAUUUCAAAGGCCCUGCUGUAUAUGACAUUGUUUGGAGUAUUUUCUUCCAGUCCUUGUAAUGCCGUGGUGUCAUGUUUGCUGAGGAGGUGAUACCCAGGUCCUUUCUGAACGGUUCCUGACUGGAGCAGCAAGAAAUGAGGCAGCUGGAUUUCACAGAGUUUUGGUAACCUUGGAGAAACAAGUUACAGCAACCAUCAGCCCAGGCGACAAAUUUGCAAGCAGGCCAGGGUGUAAGCGGGAGGAUCUGAUCUGAGGGAGGACAAAAGACUCAGCUCACGCUGCAGAGCGCUGUGGCUGAUCCUUUUGUAUGCAAGACCAGCAGACUUGCCUGAAACAGGAACCUUGGAGGUAAAUCAGGCUAAUGAAGCAGCUCAGAGAGGCAAUGUGCAUUAUUUGUAUCCCACAAUGAUUUUAAAGUCAACACACAUACAGUACCGAGUAUUUUGAAGCCUAAGAUACCUGUAGGAGAUCCAAGAGAAGGCGGUUCAUCUAGUCUCCUCAGUGCUUUCAUUUAGCUGAUAGCAAUUAGCUCUCUUUUCAUAGUGAGGAAUACAGGAACCAUUUCACUCUCUGGAUAAAUUUUAUCUAGGCAAGAAAUUAUGUUAUGACAGUUGCUAUCCGUGAUGCUAAAAUGCUUUUAUUAGGACAAUUACAGCUCUUUUUUACUCCAGGCUGAAAGAGAAAGUGAAAAGCUAGCUUUGCUAGAGAGAAGGCAGUUUGUUAGGAAUGGCCUUUUGCUGCAAAAAGAUCAGGGUCUUCUGGAUUAAUCUUUGGAUUAUAUAGAUUUUCC